rnacentral:rRNA from 1 species
GACGAACGCUGGCGGCGUGCUUAACACAUGCAAGUCGAACGGAAAGGCCCUGCUUUUGUGGGGUGCUCGAGUGGCGAACGGGUGAGUAACACGUGAGUAACCUGCCCCUGACUUUGGGAUAACUUCAGGAAACUGGGGCUCAUACCGGAUAGGAGCUCCUGCUGCAUGGUGGGGGAUGGAAAGUUUCGGCGGUUGGGGAUGGACUCGCGGCUUAUCAGCUUGUUGGUGGGGUAGUGGCUUACCAAGGUUUUGACGGGUAGCCGGCCUGAGAGGGUGACCGGCCACAUUGGGACUGAGAUACGGCCCAGACUCCUACGGGAGGCAGCAGUGGGGAAUAUUGCACAAUGGGCGGAAGCCUGAUGCAGCAACGCCGCGUGCGGGAUGACGGCCUUCGGGUUGUAAACCGCUUUCGCCUGUGACGAAGCGUGAGUGACGGUAAUGGGUAAAGAAGCACCGGCUAACUACGUG